UAGGGAAUCUUCCGCAAUGGACGCAAGUCUGACGGAGCAACGCCGCGUGAGUGAAGAAGGAUUUCGGUUCGUAAAACUCUGUUGUUAGAGAAGAACAGCGCAUAGAGUAACUGUUAUGCGUGUGACGGUAUAUAACCAGAAAGCCACGGCUAACUACGUGCCAGCAGCCGCGGUAAUACGUAGGUGGCAAGCGUUGUCCGGAUUUAUUGGGCGUAAAGCGAGCGCAGGCGGUCAAUUAAGUCUGAUGUGAAAGCCCCCGGCUCAACCGGGGAGGGUCAUUGGAAACUGGUUGACUUGAGUGCAGAAGAGGAGAGUGGAAUUCCAUGUGUAGCGGUGAAAUGCGUAGAUAUAUGGAGGAACACCAGUGGCGAAAGCGGCUCUCUGGUCUGUAACUGACGCUGAGGCUCGAAAGCGUGGGGAGCGAACAGG
rnacentral:rRNA from 1 species